UACGAAGGGUGCAAGCGUUACUCGGAAUUACUGGGCGUAAAGCGUGCGUAGGUGGUGAGUUAAGUCUGAUGUGAAAUCCCCGGGCUCAACCUGGGAAUGGCAUUGGAUACUGGCUCGCUAGAGUGCGGUAGAGGGUGGUGGAAUUCCCGGUGUAGCGGUGAAAUGCGUAGAGAUCGGGAGGAACACCAGUGGCGAAGGCGGCCUUCUGGACCAGCACUGACACUCAAGCACGAAAGCGUGGGGAGCAAACAGG
rnacentral:rRNA from 1 species